AAUCAACGCUGGCGGCGUGCCUAACACAUGCAAGUCGAACGCGAAAGUCCCGCAAGGGAUUAGUAGAGUGGCAAACGGGUGAGUAACACGUGGGUGACCUGCCUUCGAGUGGGGGAUAACGUCCCGAAAGGGACGCUAAUACCGCAUAACAUCCUGCCUUUGAAGAGGUGGAGAUCAAAGCUGGGGACCGCAAGGCCUGGCGCUGGAAGAGGGGCCCGCGUCUGAUUAGCUAGUUGGNGAGGUAACGGCUCACCAAGGCAACGAUCAGUAUCCGGCCUGAGAGGGCGGACGGACACACUGGGGACUGAGACACGGCCCAGACUCCUACGGGAGGCAGCAGUGGGGAAUUGUUCGCAAUGGGCGCAAGCCUGACGACGCAACGCCGCGUGGAGGAUG
rnacentral:rRNA from 1 species